rnacentral:rRNA from 1 species
ACGGAGGAUCCGAGCGUUAUCCGGAUUUACUGGGUUUAAAGGGUGCGUAGGCGGGCCCCUCAGUCAGCGGUGAAAGUCUGCGGCUCAACCGUAGGAUUGCCGUUGAUACUGGGGGCCUUGGAUUCGGUCGAGGCGGGCGGAAUGCGUGGUGGAGCGGGGAAAGGCUUAGAUAUCGCGCAGAACGCCGAAUGCGAAGGCAGCUCGCCGUGCCGAGAUCGACGCUGAGGCACGAAAGCGUGUGGAUCGAACAG